UCCCCAAUUCUGAUGAUGACACCCAACUGCCUCUGAGCCUUUGUGAUUCUUGGCUUCAAAGUAAACGCUCUGAAGAUAGAUGGGG